UGAUGCUCGUCUGCACUGCACAGAGGAAAUCAACUGACCGAGGAGUGUUUCUGGGUGAGGGAGAGAGGAGUCAUCAUCCAGAUGGGCAGGAUAUCAGUCUUGGACUGUCUAACCUGCCGGAGCAGCACUGAAUGACCACCACACAUGAGCAUGUUCCUGCAACAUUCAGCAGCUUUGCUUUUGUGUCAAAUGUCCAACAGCUGGAGAGGAAAU